rnacentral:rRNA from 1 species
CCUACGGGAGGCAGCAGUGGGGAAUUUUGGACAAUGGGCGCAAGCCUGAUCCAGCCAUUCCGCGUGAGUGAAGAAGGCCUUCGGGUUGUAAAGCUCUUUUCGCAAGGGAAGAAACGAUACUGGUAAAUAAUCAGUGUUAAUGACGGUACCUUGAUAAGAAGCACCGGCUAACUACGUGCCAGCAGCCGCGGUAAUACGUAGGGUGCGAGCGUUAAUCGGAAUUACUGGGCGUAAAGCGUGCGCAGGCUGUUUUGAAGUCCAGAUGUGAAAUCCCCGAGCUCAACUUGGGAACUGCGUUUGAAACUACAAGACUAGAAUAUGUCAGAGGGGGGUAGAAUUCCACGUGUAGCAGCGAAAUGCGUAGAGAUGUGGAGGAAUAUCAAUGGCGAAGGCAGCCCCCUGGGAUAAUAUUGACGCUCAUGCACGAAAGCGUGGGGAGCAAACAGGAUUAGAUACCCUGGUAGUCCACGCCCUAAACGAUGUCAACUAGUUGUUGGUAGAGUAAAAUCUAUGAGUAACCGNAGNACGCGUGAGUAGACGCG